CCCCUCGCACCAAAAACCACGUUGAUAUUGCUCGCACUGGGCGAAGGUGGCGGAAUUGGUAGACGCGCUAGCUUCAGGUGUUAGUGU
rnacentral:tRNA from 1 species